ACCUGACCAAUUUGGACUUAUUGAAUUUCAGACUUAGAUUUAUUAGUGAUAUAGAUACUAUAAGAGCCAUCCUUCAAACUUGAUCAAUAGAAUAUGUUAAGGUCUUAGUGAGCUUGUUGUGCUAUCCACAAGGCUUACUAUAAAAAUUGAUAGAUGUUGACCAAGUGCAUAUUGAUGCUUAUGGCAUAUUUGAAUAGUGUUGUUUUAUUGUGCUAUCC
rnacentral:lncRNA from 1 species